rnacentral:tRNA from 1 species
GGGGAAAUAUCUCAGUGGUAGAGCGCUCGCUUCGCAUGUGAGAGGCCUCGGGUUCAAUCCCCGAUAUCUCCA